UCCCUGGUGGCUCAGAUGGUAGAGCGUCUGCCUGCAAUGCGGGAGACCCGGGUUCGAUUCCUGGGUCGGGAA
rnacentral:tRNA from 1 species